rnacentral:rRNA from 1 species
GUGCACCAGGCGAGAAUCUUCGGCAAUGGGCGCAAGCCUGACCGAGCGACGCCGCGUGCGGGAUGAAGGCCUUCGGGUUGUAAUCCGCUGUCAGAGGGGAGGAAAUGGCGGCCCUCAGGGUCGUCUUGACCAAACCUCAGAGGAAGGACGGGCUAAGUUCGUGCCAGCAGCCGCGGUAAGACGAACCGUCCAAACGUUAUUCGGAAUUACUGGGCUUAAAGGGUGCGUAGGCGGCCUGGCAAGUUGGGUGUGAAAGCCCUCGGCUCAACCGAGGAAUUGCGCCCAAAACUGCUAGGCUUGAGGGAGAUAGAGGUGAGCGGAACUUGGGGUGGAGCGGUGAAAUGCAUUGAUAUCCCAAGGAACACCAGAGGCGAAAGCGGCUCACUGGGUCUCUUCUGACGCUGAGGCACGAAAGCUAGGGGAGCGAACGGGAUUAGAUACCCCCGUAGUCC